rnacentral:rRNA from 1 species
ANAAUCAGUCGUGAGUANNANNAUNCCCCUGUANACAGCGGGAAGCUACUGCUAAUACCGGAUGUGCCGAGAGGUGAAAGGCUUGCUGCCUGAAGAUGAGCUCGCGUCUGAUUAGCUAGUUGGUGGUGUAAGGGACUACCAAGGCGACGAUCAGUAGCUGGUCUGAGAGGAUGAUCAGCCACACUGGGACUGAGACACGGCCCAGACUCCUACGGGAGGCAGCAGUGGGGAAUUUUCCGCAAUGGGCGAAAGCCUGACGGAGCAAUACCGCGUGAGGGAGGAAGGCUCUUGGGUUGUAAACCUCUUUUCUUAGGGAAUAAAAAAAUGAAGGUACCUAAGGAAUAAGCAUCGGCUAACUCCGUGCCAGCAGCCGCGGUAAUACGGAGGAUGCAAGCGUUAUCCGGAAUGAUUGGGCGUAAAGCGUCCGCAGGUGGUUUUGUCAAGUCUGCUGUCAAAGAAUGAGGCUUAACCUCAUCAAGGCAGUGGAAACUGAGAGACUAGAGUGCGUUCGGGGCAGAAGGAAUUCCUGGUGUAGCGGUGAAAUGCGUAGAGAUCAGAAGACACCGGUGGCGAAAGCGUUCUGCUAGGCCGCAACUGACACUGAGGGACGAAAGCUAGGGGAGCGAAUGGGAUUAGAUACCCCAGUAGUCCNNGG